UGGUGGGUUGCCUUGUCAGGUUGAUUUCGGUAACGAACGAGACCUCGGCCUGCUAACUAGCUUCGGGGGGCCUUGGCCCCGCCGACGCUUCUUAGAGGGACUGCUGGCGUUCCAGCCAGCGGAAGCGCGAGGCGAUAACA
rnacentral:rRNA from 1 species